rnacentral:piRNA from 1 species
UGCUUCCUUGUGAUUAGAAAGCCAGGUCUGA